UAUAUACACACACAAAGCAUAUUUCUCAACUUUAUCAUUUCCUUUCCUAACCUUCAUUUUGUGGCAUACUGCCUUUUCUGAUAAACACUAGUUUUAGAGUAUUGGGUUGUUUUUUUUUUAACUGAACCUAACGUCAGUCCAGAAAAAAAAAAAACUUUUCUCUAAUCUAGACCUUUCCCACCUUUCAGGAAUUUUCUUCUUCUCCUCUAAAGCAAAAUGUUUGCAUUUCCCAGGUGGUACGCACUGUUGAUCUACAAGCCGGUGCUCAUGCCUGUGGUCCCAUGUGCCCCGAUGCUGUCCCACCCUGGGGGGUUGAAAGACUCAGUUCACCUCAUCCAACAGCACAUAUAACCUGCCUUCCACCACUUCUGCACUUGGCCAGGCCGUUCCACUGAGAUUUUGGGAGGCACCUUUUCUAUGCUACUGUAACAACCCAUGUGUGCAUGAAGAUGCAAGUGGUGUAAAACAUGUUAAAGAACCCUUAACAUGAGACAGACUCUCUUCACAAAUUUCAAGUGCACAGUUGGGUCUUGUUAACUUUAGACAUUAGGAUGUACAGCAUAUCUUUAGAAAAUGCUCAGCUUGUACAAUUGAAACUUUAUGCCAAGUUGUGUACAUUAAAUGUGUGUAGUUUUUUAUCAAUCAGACCUCAAUAAAGCUAUUAUAAUAUGGUUUAUUACAGUUAAUCAUACCUAUUAUAUAUGUGUACCCACACAUAUAAUAGUACAUUUAACACACUGUAUUUUGCCCACAUGUGUACAUAUCUAUAUGAAGUAGCAGAUCCUUGAGGAGAGAAACUGGUGCUUCAUUUACUAUUUUAUCCCUAAUACCAGGAAGACUAUCUGACCGAGAAGGCUUGCCUGAUGUUUGUGGACUACUCAACUGGGACCGAUUGCUUGGAGUCUCAUUCACUAUGGGUUGGAGUAGGGAAGCCUCCAAAACCCGGAACCUAAAUCUUCUGAAUGCUUUACAAAUAAAUCUUUACAGAGUUUCCAUAUGACAUUUAAAUUCCACUGGAACAGUGAUUAAGGACAUGCAAGAGAAAGAGGCUGCCAUCAUGAUAAUGGGUCCUACUGUGCUAGCUCACUUUUAUAACCUCAAUUUGGAAUGAUUUUGGUUGAAAGAAAAGAAAUAGCAUAGAAGAGGAGAAAGUUGGUGCAGCCUUAGAUUCCCAACUCCAGAGCACAAACCAGUCUAGGUUCUUCUAAACACAAUCACCUCCUGUUAUGUCACAUUGUCUUUAGAAUCUAAAACUACUCAGUACAACACGGGCUUCAUUCAUUUAGAAACUAUAGCCUUCAACACCAAGCUGGCUCAAAGCAAAAUAAAUGUUCAAACUAAUUGAUAAGCCAUCCUUGGGUGGUGUUCUAAGUUCCAAACUUGAGAAAACAUUCACUCAACCAGGAAAUGAUUCCAUAAUAACAGAAGCACCCACAGGUGCAGAAAAUGAAGCCCAGAGCAAAGCAGUGAUGGCCAUAUCAAAGGAUUGUCAAUGCACUACAGAACAAUAAUGCCACUGACAGAACAGUCCUUAUUAAGUUUAUAAAAACACUGGACUCACCUUCAGUGGGACAGUGCCCUUUUAACAUUUAUAAUUUAGUUUCUGUCACUGAUAAUAAAAUCUCAGACUGCGUAUGCCAGUUCAAGUAGUAAGAGAAGAAUAGGGGGAAAAACAUAAAUAUAUAGCUUAUUAGGGUUUCUUGAUUUUAAGGCAAAAAUUAAAUAGCAUCAAGGCCAUUGUGAAAACUACCAACUAAAUUUUAGAGCAAUUGUAUUGUUCUAAAAUUUUAGAAGAAAGAAAGAAAGAAAGAAG